UUAUUAAUGUAUGCUGAUGAUAUGGUAUUGUUAGCUGAAACACCCGAGGGCUUGCAACAAAUGUUAGAUGCAUUGCUAAAUUACACCAAUGAAUGGGGUUUAACAGUGAAUACAGAUAAAACUAAGGUGUUAGUUUUUAGAAACGGGGGGAAAUUAAGGUCAAGUGACAAAUGGUUUUAUAAUGGUCACGAAUUAGAUAACGUUGAUAACUUUAAUUACUUGGGUGUCUUGUUAAAUUACAACGGAAAAUUCAGAAAAACUCAAGAAAAGUUAGCCGAACAAGGUAAAAAAGCACUUUUCGCUGUAGCCAAUGUAUGUAGGAAAAAUUAUUUCAAUGUUGAAACACAGGACCACGUCUUCGAUAUAUAUGUUGCCAGUAUUUUAAACUAUGGUUGCGAAGUAUGGGGAAUGCACAAAGCACCCGAUAUAGAAAAAUUACACUUGAAAUUCUGUAAGAAUUUAUUAGGAGUCAAGAAGUGCACACCAGAUUGUAUGGUAUAUAAUGAAUUAGGAAGAAUACCAAUAAGUAAUAUUCGCAAGUUAAGAAUUAUCAAAUAUUGGUUUAAAUUUAAAAAAUCAGACAAUUGUAUAUUACAAGCCUGUUAUCAAGAAACGUUAUAUAAUGAGAAUGGGAUAUGUGAAUACGUCAGAAAUGAACUAUUCCGAAUGGGAUUAGGAUAUAUGUGGUAUCAAGACAGAAUGAGUGAUAGAGAUUUCGAUAUUGUUAAAUUUAAGAUACAUGAUAUUUUUCAACAAUAGUGCAGAGAAAAGAUUGAAUCUUCUUCCAAGUGUGCAUUGUAUAUGCAUUUGAGUGAUAAUUUUUGUCUACAAAAAUAUUUAGCAAUGCCUAUAGAUUCAAAACAUUUAAAAGAAAUAAUUAAAAUAAGGAUGUCAUCACAUAAGUUAAAAGUAGAGGUUGGACGUUAUAAUAAUAUAUCACGUAACCUUAGGAAAUGUAAUGUCUGUAAUAACGGAGAUAUAGAAGAUGAAUUUCAUUUUAUAAUCAAAUGUCAAUGCUUUAAAGAGUUGAGAAGUAAGUUCAUAAAAAAAUAUUAUUUUACUAGACCAAGCAUGUAUAAAUUUAUUAAACUACUGUGCACUGAUAACAUAAAAGAUAUGGCAAAUUUGGCGAAAUUCAUUUCCUUAAGUAAUAAGAAACGAGACCGCCUGUUACAAUGUUAGGCUGAAUAUUGAAUAGUGUUUUAUGUAUUUUCGAAAUUACUUAGUAUUGAGCAAUUUGCUAAUAUAUAUGUAAUUGAUAUAUAAAUGUCUAGAAUAUAUAACUACAACAUGUUUGUAAUCCCCUAUGCACUUUUGUAAUUUCCAUGGCAGAAUUUGUAAUUUGUGAAAACAAUGUACUUAAUUAUUGAAGUGUGAGAGAUAUUCCUCUACACUAUUCUAGAUGUAACCGACCGGUGUUCAUAUGUGUGGUUCAGUGUGAGUGUGUGGGUAUAGGUGUGUAUGUGCUGUAGUGUACAUGUGUGGAUUGGUGUGUGAGAGUUUGUCUGUGGAUCAGUGUGAGUGGGUGGGUGUGGAUCAGUGUGGGUGUGUGAGUUGUGUGAGGACUGUGAGAACUUGUUGUACAUGUAAUUUAUAUACUGAUAAACCAUGUGGUUUAAAGUAAUAAAGAACUUGAACUUGAACUUGAUUGGACACCAUUCCACUCUGGCCAACAUUUCUAUUUUCACACCUUGGCCAGGCUUGGUCAUACCUGAGUGACCACCAGGUAAGUUCCAGGUAAAAAGUUGUCACUUACCUGUGUUUGGUAAACUUCAAAGAUAUCGCUUCACACUUUACUAUGGCCAAUGCACAGAUACAGGUGGAUUUUCUGGAGAAUGGAAGAGGGGGUCACUAUCUCCUAAAUGCGGGCUAUAAAUAUUCCAUUAAGACAAGAAGGAACAAUAGAGUGUAUUGGAGAUGUGUUCGAAGAGAUCUUGAUUGCACUACAUCAUUAACCACUGUUGAUAAUACUCCUGUUGGGAAUUAUGGACAAAAUCAUAACCAUCAACCCGACAUUAUUGGCUUUGCUGCUGAUGCAUUUGUAGUUAACCUCAAGAAAAGGUGUAGAGAUGAAAUCACUCCAGUACCAUCACUAUAUGAUGAGGAACUUGGACUAUUGAGAAAUAGGGAUUUUGAUGAUGAUGUCAAGACUUUGAUAGAGAAAAUUCCUGUUUUUGAAAAUGUUAAGUCAUCCCUUUACAAUCACAGCAUGAAGACCAUUCCAAAAUUACCAGUUUUGCAACACGAAAUCGACCUUCAAGGCGAAUGGAAAGAAACAUAUGCCGGGGAAAGAUUUCUUUUAAAUGACGAGAAUAUGCUCAAUGGACAAAGAUUACUCAUUUUUGCUACAGAUACAAAUUUGGAGCAUAUCAGUGAAUCCUCCCAUCAUUUUUGGAGAUGGUACAUUCUACUCAUGCCCUGGACUAUUCUACCAGUUAUAUACUUUACACGGCCAGGUACAACAAACAAGUGUUUCCAUUUAUAUACGGUCUAUUACCGAACAAGACUCAGCAAACAUAUUAUACUUUCUUUAGUGCCAUUAGCCAGCUUUUGACCGACAGAAAUAUUCAGUUGACAGCUCAUUCCGUUUUAUUUGACUUUGAAGUUGCAACAAAGACCGCCUUUAGGGCUGUGUUUCCAGCAGUUUCUGUCAAGUCAUGUUUUUUUCACUAUACAGUGUGUUUGGAGGAAAACACAGUCUUGUGGUCUUGCUACCAGAUAUAGCAAUGAUGAUGAUGUAAAGACACUUGUCCGUAGAGCAGCAGUGCUUCCUUUGGUACCAGUGGAUCGGGUUGAGGACGUUUGGUUCAACGCACUUGAGGAUAGUGAGGACCAUACUCCAGAGUUUUACAGAUGACCAGAUUUAAAGAUUAUAUAACAGAAACAUGGGUCGAAAGCCAUGACAAGGAGACAUGGAAUCAUUUUGAAAAUGCUGGACCAAGGACUACAAACCACGUCGAAGGAUGACAUAGUAAAGUGAACCGUCUCUGUAGUAGUGCCCAUCCAAACAUCUAUAGCAUUAUUAAACUAAUCAAAUCCAUUCAGGCAACUAAUGAGUCUAAGAUCAUCCAGCUGGAAGCAGGAGCAAGAGCAAGGAGGAAAAAGGCCAAGUAUCAGCGCAUUGAUGCUAGAUUGCGCAUCCUGAAGGACAGGUUCAGGAAUGGUGAACUUGACGUUUACCCAUAUGCUGACGCAGCAUCUCACUUAAUUCAUCUGAAUGAGUAAACCCCAACUACAUAUUCGAAUGGAAAAUGUGAACUGUAUAAUCUAACCUGUAAUAUAAACAGUUUGCUAUCUUAUUUAUAAAUGCUAUACAUGUAUUAUAUUGAGUUACCUUAGUGAUAUGAAUUAAAUAAUUAUGUUUUACAUACAUUUUGUUUAUGAAUUCAUCAUUUUGAUAGAUAAAUAUUUUAGAUACAAUGUAACUGUCGUAGUUUAUAUAGUAUAAUUCUGGCAGCAAUCUAACUGUAGCUUUUCGAGUUUGUCUGCAUCACUGAGAGAACACCCAUCCCAAACUUCACAACAAUAUUCAAAUAGUGGUAGACGAUAAGCUUUGUAAAUCUUUAAUAAAGUUUGCUUGUUUAAUACAUAUUUUAAUUUACGAAGUACACUUAUCUGUUUUGCAACGCUUUUACCUAUAUUUUCGAUAUGUUUACUCCAUUUACAAUUUCCAUCUAACGUUACUCCUAGGUGCUUGUGAUGAUACACAAA